rnacentral:sRNA from 1 species
UUUGUGUUCAAUAAAAAUCUCUUGUGCCGCCUGAGGCUAUUCGAAUUUCACCUAAAGCCCUCACCCAUGGCCAUUCUGCAUGUAUCUGAGACAGUUUGCAAUCAGAGAGAGCGAUUAGAGCAAGAGAUUAGUAGAUUGCUUGUAGAAUCGUUAAGCCAAAAUGUAUAGUUAUCGUUAAGUGGCGGCCGAAACUGAGAUAAACGAGAUAAGAAAAAACAGAGCGCAUCUGUUUCUCUCUCUCUUUUUAAAUCUUCUCUAAAAUGCAAUAAGAAGAUCAAAAUAAAGACACAGAAGCUACGCAGCAAAGUAGACUUAAGCCGACUUAUUUUCAUUCCGCAUGUAAAUGAACCGCUUGAUAUGUCUAACUGUUCAUAGCAGCAGCUGUCCUGCUUCCUUUCAAUUAAAUGUCAAAUGAGUCAAAGUACAUACAUAUGUGAAUAUGUACGUGUAUAAGCAAAUUUUCCCAUAGACUAGACAUCGACAUCGCAUCGUCGCAAAAAGCGACGAUUUGCAAAUGAAUUGCAAAGUAUUUGCACGUCCCAGAAGCACAAGAACAAAUGACGUUAAGUACGUACGUACGAUGGAGGUGCGAUUUCUUCAGUUUCACUUUCGUUUUUAGUAUACAUAGCAACUGCUGGAUCAUCCUCCCCUGUUUCAUCUUUCAAUAUGGAAAAAACAUACAAUCAACGGUCUGCAAUGAAAGUAAAUGUGUAAGUAAGACACAUACUUUCACUAUACACUCCACAGCACGUGUGUGCGUCCUUCCAGAUGCCGAAAAUGAAGAAGGAAUGUACAGAUGUUCGGAGGAAUAAAAGGAGAAGAAAUGCGAAGCAAAAAAUCGAAAUGUAGGCGUGUCUCCCCAUUGCCGUGUUAACAGCACAUUGACUUGCCUGUGAAAUGAAAUUUAUUACAGGGGGCUGGGCGAGAAAAAAAUAAACAUUCCAUACAGUUACAGUUACGUUUACAGAUACAGCUACAGAAUUGUGCGUGAGAUUGCUGUGUGUCGCUGUCGCUGGCGAUGUUAAGGACGUGUGAAAAUCUGCUUCCUCAUGUUGCAAUGAAUACGUUAGCAGUCGGCAGCAAAGGCAGCCACUAGGCCCGCCCUCAAUAUGGUUUAUUAAAGACACACCCUCUCCCGCCCCCAACAGGUACCCUCCCGCCCAUCUGGCUGCUAAUCAAUGACCCAAAAGCGACCGACCCCCCACAAAACCCUUAACUGCAGAAUUAUGUAAAUGAUUUCAUUUAUAGAUGAAAGAUUUGAUUGUCUUCUUUCCCUACUGCAACCCAUUCCAGAAAGACAAUCAAAUACAUAUGUAUCUUCGAUUUGAGAGGUUUGUAUGCAUAUAAAAAUCUGAAACGAAUCUGUAGAUAGAGAGCGGCUGAGGGACAUCAUGAAUAAUAAGCAAACGUUGAUGGCUCAUGGCACUUUGGCCACGUAGACAGAGAAAGAGAGAGAGAGAGAGAAAAAACGUGGAAAGGAAUGAGAAUGUACUACAUAAUUUAAAUCACUGGCUGAAAUUUGCAUAAACUGCGUCAAAUGGCAGCGCAAAUUUCGUUAAGACAAUGGCCCAAAAUGUGGCUACUGCUCCACACCGUUCCGUUCAUUCGGGGUACUCCUGCUCCUGCUAUUGUCGGUGUUUUUGCUCAACCUGCUACUACUGCUCCUGCCCCUACUUCCGCUACCGCUGCCAUUCCAGCAAGACUGCCAUUAAUUUAACCAUUAUGGGGUUUACUGCGCUUUCACUUUCAUGUUAUUUGAUACUUUUAAUGCUGCCUGGGGCCCCCUCCCCCUGAAACUCGCAGUCUCCUGUUCCUGUUGCGAGGCCAUUGAAAACAUAUGCGCAAAGCCUUUGAGCUUGUCAGCAUAAUUUUCCCAGUAACCGAAUGGGGCCGACGAGGACGCCGGACGUACAGGACGCAUUUUGUAAGUAAUUAAAGCAGCAAAGUUUUUGAUAGCACAACGAGCAGCAGGCAGGCAGGUCAGCAGUAUAAAAACUCAAGCCCUAACAAGCUGCCAAAUUAGGGCGUGGCACUUAAAGCCCAGGAAUUUUUUCUGUUUUUCUUUUUUUUUUUUGGUAUCCUAAUUACGGAGGGCAGCAGUAGAUCAAGUUGAAGCGAUUUAAUGCAUAAAUUAAUGGGUUCAUUUUGUAAAUUAUUCGUUUGAAGACGAACGAGAGAGCGUGAGCAUUCCCUUCAAUUUCCUUUCCAGGAAAUCAUUUUCUUCUAUUACUUUGUCCAGAAAUAUCAAUGGUGCGAAAGAAGCAGACUGGCACUGUGAGGGGGUGAAAGAACUUCCUUAUAAUAAUUACAUUUGUUUAUAUCUUCUUUUGCCCCUCAGUUUCUGCAUAAAAUAAAAUAUGCGUGGUAAAAUGUCUUACUUGUUAACUAUCGUACAUAUAUACAUACAUACAUACAUAUAGACAUAUCUGAUGUGUGAUGUGUCCACAAUCUGUAUCUCCCUCUCGCUCCUUUGUAUCUAUGUAUCUUUUGCAUCUCCUGCUUGAUGGUGUCGCUACCGAAGGCAGGAAAACUUCAUUUCCGCAAAACUAACUUUUGUUUAACAUAACAAAUUGUCUUGUUUGCCUUUCGCAUAUCUGUGGGUGUGUGCGUUUCUAAGUGAUAGUUGAGCCCCACUCAACUAGAGCUAUAUAUGUAUAUGCGUGCGUGGGACGUGGGCGUGGCUGUUGACAGAUUUGCAUAGCCUCUGGAGAGAUAAAAGCUGGAAUAGUGGCGACAGGCAGGCACUGCUGCAUCUUUGGUCUCUUGGCCAUUUUUGUUAAAUUCAAUUUUCAAUUCGUUUUCUGUUCUCGAAAUAAAUUGGAUUUCGGCU